rnacentral:lncRNA from 1 species
UAGAAAAUGAUUUCCUUGUUUCAUUCAUUCCCAAAGUUACAUGAUAUCAUGUAGAACACAUUUGAUACAGUAAUUAAUUACAAUUGAAAUCUCCAAGUCAACCUUAUACAACAUUCUAAAUUUAACUCAAUCAAGAGGAUUGGGGAGAGAUGUGUAGAUGGUAGAAUCUCGCUAACAGAACUCCAUAUUUCAGUAGCUUGGUAGUUGGCAAGCAAGGAGUUGGACACGUUUUACAUUGUAGCAUGCUAGCUUUGGUCAACAAGUUAGUGGUAUAUUUGGCCUGGUUAACAACAAUUCCUAAAUUUGUAUAUGAAACUUGUAGCCCAAGAAAGUAACUUAGUGUGCUUAGAUCCUUUAUAUCAAACUCCUUUCUCAAAUCUUUGAUCAAAGAAUCCGCCAAACUUGGAUUGAUCCCUAUAAAAAUAAUAUCGUCAACAUAUAAUAGGAUAAUAGGUAAAUCAUUCUCCAAAUUCUUAACAAAAAGAAAGGAAUCAGCAAAAGAUGGCACAAAUCCUAAAAUGAGUAGAUGAGAACUAAACCUUCAUUCCAUGCACGUGGGGCUUGUUUGAGUUCAUACAACGGUUGAUUAGCUUGCGGGCAUGAUAAGUAUUGGUUUUGUCUUCAAAUCUUGGUGGUUGACUCAUAUAAACUUCCUCAUGAAGGCAUUUUUCACAUCUAGUUAUUGAGAGUCCAACGAAAUUGAGCUACUAGAGACAAUACUAAUCUCACUGUAAGAUGCUUGACUACUAGAAUAAAUGUUUCUUCAUAGUCCAAUCCAGCCUCUUAAUGAAAUCCCUUGGCAACAAGUCUAGCUUUGUGUCUUGUUAUUGUACCAUUAGCAUUCUCGAACCUUCUUGUAUCUUCCUUGUUUGCUUUCUCCUUGGAUCUCCCUCCCUAGCUUAUUCAUAAAGCCACCAAAGAGAUGGCCUCUAAAGUUUCCACACCUUAAUCUCCUCUAGGUGGCCGGCUUUUGGUGUUUAGAGAGGGAGAUUGUUGCUUUCCUUAUCAAGCUCUUCUUAGAACCACCAAAAUGCCUUAAUUCCAAAUAGGUAAGUCUUUACUCAUAUAAUGAGGUGGGAUGAGUCACUUAAGUGACUCUCCCUCUACACUCUAGAAUCGGCCGUACCAUAGAUGAUGGGCAUUUUGGGCUUCAUGUCACUUAUGUCAUCUUAUUUCAUAAUUUGGGUUCAAUGGGUUUGAGCUUAAUAGGCCCUAAAAGUCUGAAAUUUAAGGCCCAUUACUGAUUAUUUGUCAUUAGUUUGAUUAAUCAUGACUCCUUUAUCUAAUAUCUCUAUGGCCUAGUGUAUUGGUAUAUGAUUCAUUAUGUUUCAAUUUGUGAGACAAUGAGGUGAUUAGUACUACUACAAUCACUUAGCGAAUUAAAACAUUGUUUUAAUUCUUCCAAUCAUCGAUGACUAUGUGUUUAGUCAUCAAGAGGGCAUAUAGUUCAUGAGUGACACCUAGCCAUGUAUCAUCACUACCCAAGACAAUAGAUAAUAAUUUGGAGAUGAUUCAACAGUUGGAUUGUUGGAGUUAUCGUAUUAUUAUUCUAGGGUUUAUCCUUUUAGCUGUAACCUAUUUGGGUGCAAUUGCAAUGCAAUUUGAUCUUUCUCUAACUCAAUACUCUUACUUACAUUGCUAGGGUAUGGAUGGUUCAUGUCAAACCUAAUGUGAUUUCCGUUUAUGUAUAUGAUUCAACUGAGAUGUAUAAGAAAUGUCUUUCUUAAUCAUCCUCGACCCUUUCACCAAAGAUUUCCGAAUCAUAGCGUAUGAGUAUUCUCCUUCUCUUACUGACGGUUAAAGGUCCCUUGUUGUACACUUUCGGGGCAUAUGGAUUCUCACCUAUGUUUGCAUUACUCAAGCCGACAUUCUUGCUUCGGCUUCGUCCAUCGCUGCUGAUGCAGGUGCUUCCCUCUAGGCAGAACGCUCCCCUACUGAUGCAUUUUUACAUCCCACAGCUUCGGUAGAUCGUUUAGCCCCCUUCGUCUUCAGCACAAGAGCGCUCGAUCGGUGAGCUAUUACGCACUCUUUCAAGGGUGGCUACUUCUAGGCAAACCUCAUGGUUAUCUCUGCACCAUAUACCUUUAUGACUAAUUCAAGGACUCCAACUAUACAUAAAAACAUACCCAAGAUAAGGUGCGACCAUGUUGCAUCAAUAAAUGAUCAAUGGCUUAUCCACAAGACAAUCAUGGUGUCACAUAUCAAAUGAUUACUUGUAUUACUGCAACUCUUAGAGUUACUUGCUUGACAUGUAUGUAGAACUCCAUGCAAUUAUUCUCUUUUUGAUCGCCUUCAGUAAACUUAGUCAUCCUCCUAAUUGAGCAGACAUAGCUUGGUAAAGAGUAAUGAUAGGGAAUGAGUAAUUACUUAACUUUAAUUUUUAUUGUUCAAUUUAAUAAGCUUACAAAGGAUACAAAAUAACUUUACCUUGAUAAAGAAGGUUCUUUUGAUUAAUGGUAUAGAUACAUGCUAAUCCAAAUAGUUUCAUAUAAUGAGCAUCUAUAAUGGUGUAGGCAAACAAAAUAAACAAAUUUGUACUAUAAUAGCUGACGUGGUAAGUUGUCUAUUCAAUUGCCUCAUGAAAACAGUGUGUCACUUCAAUAGAAUAGACAACUUAAGUAGGCAAAAUUUAUUUUAUUAUUUUAUUUCAUCUUUAAUAUCUACUUUUAUCUUUUAUUUUUGCCUUCUUCCUCCACAAACACUUUAUUAUAUAUAGAAACAUGGGGCUCUAUUUGCCUGUAAUGUUGCCUACUUUACUGGUGUAAACAAACUUUGCCUACCCCAAUUGACCACACCGUUAAAGCAUGUUUUUGCCAAGCUCAUCAAAAUAGGUUCGAUUUUUCAUUUGUUGCCUACUUUUAUCUUAUAUUUUCAUUGAAGAUGCUUUAGCCUAUACUAGUCAAAGAUCGCCUAAAUGUAGGUUCUCUCCGGAAAUGCUUUAGACUACCAAACUAGAGAUCUUGAUCUCAAUCAUUAUUGGUUUGCAGCCACAUAUACCUUUUUGAGCUUUACAGCGUCACAAACACUAAGAAAGAAUCAUACAAAGGAAAACAACACCAAUAAUACCAUAUGAGUAAUAAUAUUAUCACAAAAAUUCUGUCAAAAAUAUGAGGUAGUGAAAAAUUCCACUUUUGAGAGAGUCAUUUCCGUAUCACAUACCAAUGAUAGGUAAGAUGGAAGAAUAUUAAUUAGAUUCAUAGAUGAUGGCGUUCAAGAAAGGGAUGGGUAAGCGCGUGGGAAAUGGUUGUUCAGAUACAUUGUACAAUACCAAAAGUAAGGGGGAAUAUGUACCAAGUUGAACAUAUUCUUUCAUGCAUGCACAGCAUCCCCAUCAUAUUCAAUCGUCUGCUUCUGACGCGGUUGUUUGAUUCAAAACGUAAAUGCUCUCCUAAUUUGACAAUACCAACUAGAAGAUCACGUACACUGCAUAGUCUACCUGCGCGUAUGGGCACUUUUCCUGUGCUUGUGUUGCCCAUUCAUUAUAAGGAAAAUUAAUAAAAAAAAAAGUUUAAAAAGUUGAACUCUUAUUCAAUUCAACAAUUCAAAUUUUAAUUCUGAUCAUUUAAACCAAUUUCUUAAGAAUUUAUUUGAUAUCUUAUAUAAUUCUUGAAAGUUUUAGAAUAUUUUAGAUCUAUUAUCCUUGUAUAGCUGUAAGUCAUGAAGUUUUACAAUAACAAAUAUAUAUAUAGACACACACACAUGAGUGCUCAAGCGUUAAUUUUAAAAAUCAUCAUUCGAAGAGUAUCCUUACAAAAAGUUAGAAAAACCUAAUAAACAAUUAGUCAUGAAACUAUAUAUGUUCAAACAAAUGGACGAAUACAAUAUUCCCUAUAAUUAAUAAAAGGGAGACUUUGGAUGCGGUCCCUAGUUAUGAAUAAUCUUUGACUGAAACUUUGUUGGUUUUCAAUUUUUGAUUCAAGUCCCUAAAAUUAAUUGAUAAUUUAUUUCUAUGUACGUUACUAUAUUUUUUAAAUUAAAAAUUAAAAUUUAUAGUUGUUUAUAGUAAUGAGAUUUUAAAUAAAAAACAUAAUUUGUGGGAUUAAAAAUAUUAAAAUAUAAAUAUACUAUUGUGUGUGUGUGUGUAAACAUGGGUACAUUCAUAAAAAAAUAACCAAAAAAUUAUUGUAUCAAAACAUGGGUACAUUCUUCAAAAUGGGUACAUUUAGCAAAAAUAAAAAUGGGUACAAAUAAAUAAAAAAAUAUGGGUACAAUACAAAUAAAACUUUAAAAAAUAUGGGCACAAAAAGAAAUUAAUAUAUGGGUACAAAUUAAAAUUGAAAGGAAAAUUGGUACAAAUUAAAAAAGGUUGCAAAUUAAAAAUGGGUACAAACUAAAAAUAAAAAUAUAUGAUAAAAAAUUUAGCCAUAAAUAUAAAUAUACUAAUUGUAACAUUUUUAAUAUUAAAUGAAUAUAUUUAGAAAUAAAAAAUAUUUUAUUAUUGAAAUAAUUAAUGAUAUUAUUAAUACAAAGGACCUUGAUCAAAAAUUGAAAAGUAAUAAGGUUUUAAUCAAUAGAGUAGUAAAAAUAAGGAUGAAAACCUAAUUACUCCUUAAUAAAAAAAUGCAUAAGAACAACCAAACGGUGAAACAAUUACCAACUUGACUUAAUAUUUCUUUAGAGACUGGCAGAUUCUUGGUACCACUUUUUUACAUAGCUUUUGACACAGUUUUUGUGGGUCUCACUCGGUAAUGUAUAUUAACGAUCUGAACCUUCUAUAUAUUAGAAUAUCAUCCAUAGAUCAUCCUUGCAAAAAAUUACACAUCCACAACCAUUAAGACAUGUAUUUGUAGUGAAGAAAAUUGACGAAUACAAUUAUGCAAAGAAACCUUAAAAACUUAAUCCAACGGCUUAAUCCAACAAUUAUAUAUUUUCAGAUUUGUGUGAUUUCUGGUAACAAAAUCAUUGAGUAAAGACCUAAAAGAUAGACUGUAAUUCGAAUCGUUGUAAUACAUUACAAAGUGAGCUCCACAAAAAUGUGUAUUGAAAAUUGUGUAAAAAAAAAUGAUGCCAUGAAUCCGUUGCUUAUAUAUUCUGGUUUUAGUUUACAUUGUAGAUCAUGGCAUGAUCGUAUUUUUAUUUACAUCGACAAAUGGUGUUGAUGAGAUUUAAAUUUAAGGCUUUCUAUAUGUAGUGAAAUAUUAUAGGUGCCAACAAAUAUGCAUACCUAAAGAUGAUCAUUUAUAUACUAUAGAACGAAAUUUGUAUAAUCAAUAACCUUUUUUUUCUUUCCAAACGGUAGGAUCUAUAUUACGAGAAUAAAUAAGAUAUGAAUUCAAGACACAAUAAGUUGAAGAUGCAAGAAUAUACACUAAUACAAUCCAUCAGUUACAUUAACUUUUUUUUCACAUUAUUAUCAUGCCAUAAUAUUUGUUUAUAUUAACUUAACAGUCAACAUUGGCUUAAUUAUUCGAUCUGACUUAUUUGUGCAAGACAAUGACCAUGUUUGGAAUGAAAAAAGUCGUAAGUUGUCGCUGCAUUGGUGUUCAUUGAACUGAGACGCAACCCAACUCAUCUGUGCCGAAAUGGGGACUUGCGAUAUCAGUCCAACACGGCCAUUGCUUGCUUUUGUAACAGUGUUUUAAAAAUCGGCCUAGGUGGCCGCUAAGGUGGUGCCUAAGUGCUAGGCGGUGAAGAACCGCCGCGAUUUAGGGUAAAUCGUUUCAAAAAAUCGGUCUGGAUCUAGGUGGCGCCGCCUAGGCUGUCCUAGGCAGAUUUUAUUUUUUUAUUAUUUUUUAUUAAUUGUGUGCUUUUGUAUUUUUUAAUUUCAUGAUGUAUACUUAUGAAAAUGGUGUACCUAAUUUGCAAAGCAUAUUUGAAUCUUCCUUUUUUGUCGUCAAUCCUUCCAGGGUCAUCAUCAAUCUUCUCGUGCAUGCAUAUGGUAUAUAGAUUUUUAUACCAAAUACCAAAUAUAUAUAUGCACGUCUUUCUAUCGUUAAUUUUUUAGGAUAUAUGUAUAUAUAACGACGCACGAGCAAUAUCUUGUGGUCAUCAGAUAUUCACUCUUGCGUUUCGUUAAAUCUGCUGUGCAUCGUUAGUGAUUUAAGCACGAGAGAAUAUGCAUUAAAUGUGAAGCAUAUUAGAUACAAGUUUUCUCUUUUUAUAUUACUUCACCAAUACUUAAAAAACCAAAUAAGAAUAUCAGUUAUCAUUCAAAUGAAAGAAACUUACAUGUCACGAGUGUAAAUUACAUUUCUCCUUAUCAAAGAGAUAAAGACAGUACAACUCAUGCAAGUUAUUUUUUUUGGAAAUAUUUUUGCUCACAAGUCUAAAGUUAUGAUAGUGCUCGUCAUCAUAUUUAUCACUCUUUGAUUAGUUUGAGUUUCGAGGUUUGUCUGAUAAGUAGACACAAAUCUUUAAACAUAAACUCAUUUAAUGAUAAUAAAUAUGGUGGUGAGCACUACAACCACUUUAGGGUAUUGAACAAAAAUGUACCCUAUUUUUAAUUACUAAAUAAGAUCAUCAUAUAUAUAAAUAUUUGACAUAAGAUGCCUAAAGUUCAGAUCCAAGUCAUGAACUUUUUUAGUUACGUUUGACGCGUAUUUAAAGCCCAAAAUUUUGACCAACUAUUGUGUAGUCGAACUUUUUGGGUCGGAGAAUUGUUCUAAGAAAAGAUUUUUCACAUUUCAGUUGUAGCAAUUUGUUAUGAGUAUGGUCUAAAAUAUCCAUAAUAUCCCGAUAUUUUCAUCGAAAUUUCCGUGUUUUUGGACUACCGAUAUUUUUUUGGAUUACCGAUAUUUCCGUUAUCAUCGAUAUUUUAGACUUUGCUAAGUCACUCAUGUAUCUUACCAUGCAAUGUAUAAAGUGUAAAAUAUUGUACUAAUUCAUUAUAUAUAAAUGAUUAUGAUGUGUUUAAAUUUCUUUCAUUAAUUACUACAUAUUUUCUACACUCACAAUGUUUGCCAGCUCGCUAUAUAAUCAACUUAAAUCAGUUAUAUCUAUCAUGCAAUGCAUUUUCUUCUAAUUUUUUGUGAUAAACUAAUAGAUAAUUGACUAAAUAAACAUCCUGCAAAGUUUCAAUAAAAAUUUCCAAGUUUUUCUUACAAUUUCCGUGGUUUUUAUUCAAUUUUUAUCGAUAUCGAUAAUAUCCCGAUAUUUCCAUUGAAAUUUCCGUGUUUUUAGACUACCGAUAUUUCCGAUAUCAUCGAUAUUUUAUACCUUGGUUAUGAGUGACACUUUCGCAGCCAUACACUAAAAUGUACUUUUGUCUUGCAUGAAUUGUGGUGAUUUACCAUUUCUGGAAUAGUCUCAUUCAUAUUAUACAUCUUUAGGGUUAGGUAAAUUUAUUGAAAUUUCAAGCAAAAUAUAUCUAUUAUAAAAUUUAGAAGUUCUCAAAAUGCAUUUCGAUAUGUAACCUUUUCUUUUGAUACAAGCGAUAUUGCAGGAUGAUGGAUUCAAACUUGAGGCCUUAAGUGUAAGGGAGAAUAGCCUUAACCAACUUAGCUAUAAGCUUUUUAUUAGCAUCCAACUUAAUACAAUAUAUAGAUAGAGCUAUCCAAAAUAGAAAUCAUGUGAUAACGUUUAAGUUUUUGCUUUAUGCGAAGAAGUAUAAAUUUAAGAGUAUCAACUUUCACUCUCAUUUUCAUGUAAAAUGAAAUUAAAAAAAAAAUUUGAGAGUAAACAUAAUUACGCUAAAUAAAAAAAAAGUAGAAUACAACAACAACAACAACAAAGCCUUUUCCCACUAAGUGGGGUCGGCUAUAUGAAUCCUAGAACGUCAUUGCGCUCGGUUUUGUGUCAUGUCCUCCGUUAGAUCCAAGUACUCUAAGUCUUUUCUUAGAGUCUCUUCCAAAGUUUUCCUAGGUCUUCCUCUACCCCUUCGGCCCUGAACCUCUGUCCCGUAGUCACAUCUUCGAACCGGAGCGUCAGUAGGCCUUCUUUGCACAUGUCCAAAUCACCGGAACCGAUUUUCUCUCAUCUUUCCUUCAAUUUCGGCUACUCCUACUUUACCUCGGAUAUCCUCAUUCCCAAUCUUAUCCUUUCUCGUGUGCCCACACAUCCCACGAAGCAUCCUCAUCUCCGCCACACCCAUUUUGUGUACGUGUUGAUACUUCACCGCCCAACAUUCUGUGCCAUACAACAUCGCUGGCCUUAUUGCCGUCCUAUAAAAUUGUCCCUUGAGCUUCAGUGGCCUACGACGGUCACACAACACGCCGGAUGCACUCUUACACUUCAUCCAUCCAGCUUGUAUUCUAUGGUUGAGAUCUCCAUCUAAUUCUCCGUUCUCUUGCACGAUAGAUCCUAGGUAGCGAAAACGGUCGCUUUUUGUGAUCUUCGCUAGAUUGCUCCGAUCAUUAGUGUGGAUAAGUAUAUAAAUGGAUAAGAGACAAGAAAGCAAACACAAGAUGUACGUGGUUCACCCAGAUUGGCUACGUCCACGGAAUAGAGGAGUUCUCAUUAAUUGUGAAGGGUUUACACAAGUACAUAGGUUCAAGCUCUCCUUUAGUGAGUACAAGUAAAUGAUUUAGUACAAAUGACAUUAGGAAAUAUUGUGGGAGAAUGAUCUUGUAAUCACGAAACUUCUAAGUAUCGGAGUGCGGUAUCGUCUUGACUUGCCUUAUCUGUCUCAUAGGUAGAUAUGGCAUCUUCUCUGGAAGUACUCUUCCUCCAUCCAGGGGUGGUAUCUUUAACUGGUGGAGAUACACAAGGUAAUGUAUCAAUUUCACUUGAAGCUUACUUGUAGUUUCAGGCUUGGUCAAGCGCGAUACAAACCAUGUAGUAGGAGUCCCCCAAGUCGCCGAGCUAGAGGAUCUGCUGAAAGAGGUGACAGACAAGGUAAGCAAUCAGAGCUCCGGCUGAUUAUUCACAUUCUCCAUAUCUUGCAGGCAGCAUGAAGGAUAAAGAGAAGAAAAUGAGAAGAGAUGAUAUGGGAUACUUUUGCUUUUGAAGAAGUAACUUUCCACAGGCUUAUUCUUGAACUGAGCUGGAGGGUUUUCUGAUUUCCUCCAGAGUAUAAGGCCGACUGAAGAAUUUGAGGGUCAAAACAAGUCCAUCAAAUCUAGAGUACGUUCGACCCUGCUGAUAUGGGAUACUUUUGCUUUGACAGAGUAAUGGAUGUAUCGGCACGUGUGCUGUUUCGCUUGUCUCCACAUGCUUCCUUGUAUCCUUCUCCCUUGCCCUAUUUGUUCCUCAGGCAGAUGCGAUAUCUUCCCUGGAAGCAUAAGAUGUUGAAGAUGAGUACUCGAGAGCAAUGGCAGGUAAGUAAUCAGAUAAGGGGUUCCAGGCAGUCAGUUCCUGGCUGGAAGCUUGAUUCCAAGUGCUGACUGAUUGCUCUCUUUCUCCUUGUCUUGCAGAUAAGAACAAGGCCAAAAGAAAAGACAGGGAAAAAGCAUGAUAUGGGAUACUCUUGCUUUUAACCCUGAUGAUAUGAGAUAUUCUUGCUCUAGUAUAGCUCGUUUGCAGAGAUAUUAUCGGGGGGAAAGAAAGCUGAAUAUUUCGAAAGGCUUCGUUGGGAGUGCCCUCUCAGAUAUGAGGAAGGGUUGAGCAUUUUUGCAGGUCUGCCUGUCCAUUGGGGAUGGAGGUCGACAUAUAUAGGAGUCUCCUUAACAACAAAUAAUAAUGCUAUUCCUUUACCCUACUUGGUCAUAGCACGGUAGUGGGAGCUGCCAGCUUCACAUGUUUUAACUCUGUCAGAGCACUUUGAAAAAGUGGUCUGUGGUAUCUGGAAAGGUAAUGUUGCGUGUGAAGAUUACAGACAUCUUUAUCCAAGGAGAUCCGGCUCUUGAAGUUGGGAAAGUGUUGCCUCUUCGGUUUUCGAACAAGCAAUCCUAUCGGGGAUCUGGCUCUCGAGAUUCGGAGAACGAUGUCUCUUCGAUUUUUGAGAAAGCAAUCAUGCUGGGGGUCUAGCUUUCGAGAUUCGGAGAGCGGUGUCUCUUCGAUUUUUGAGAAAGUAAUCAUGUUGGGAGUCUGGCUCUCGAGAUUCGGAGGGCGGUGCCUCUUCGAUUUUGGAGCAAGCAAACUUGUUGGGAGUGUUUUCUCGAAUGUGAGUAAAGGUUGGGCAUGUUUGCUCGUCUACCUUGCCACGAAGCACAGAGGUUGACACAUAGGGACUUUCCAAUUAUCCAGCAAUGGUACUGUUCCUUUACCCUCUCUUCGAUUUUUGAGAAAGUAGUCAAGUCUGGCUUUCGAGAUUCGGAGGACGGUGCCUCUUCGAUUUUGGAGCAAGCAAUCUUGUUAGGAGUGUUUUCUCGGAUGUGAGUAAAGGUUGGGCAUGUUUGUUAGUCUACCUUGCCACGAAGCACAGAGGUUGACACACAGGGACUUUCCAAUUAUCCAGCAGUGGUACUGUUCCUUUACCCUUGUGGGUAAUAAUAUGGUAGCUAGACCUUCAAAAUUUAUGUGUCUAACCUUUGUUAGUGCUGUUUCUUUGCUAUUCUUUUACCCUUCUUGGUCAGAGUGAUGUAGUGGGAGCUGCAAGCUUCACGUGCUCAACUUUGGCAGAGAACUUUGGCAAAGUUAUCUGUGGUACCCAUGAGCUACUGUUGCGUGUGAGAAGUGGGUGAUUGAACAGUAAGACUCAUAUGCUUUCUACUUCACCAGAAGUCUUCGACAGAAUGCCCAUAAUUUCCGCAAAGCUGAGUGUGCGUGUGACAGGUGCUGACAAGGCUGGAAAAGUAGGUGCCUCUUCGAUUUCUGAGAUCGGCCCUCGUGGUCUCUGAGCAGCCCAGCUUUUGAGAAAGCAAGCGCCUCUUCGAUUUCUGAGAUCGGCCUUCGUGGUCUUUGAGCAACCCAGCUUUUGAGAAAGCAAACGCCUCUUCGAUUUCUGAGAUCGACCCUCGUGGUCUCUGAGCAGCCCAGCUUUUGAGAAAGCAAACGCCUCUUCGAUUUCUGAGCAGGCGCCUCUUCGAUUUCUGAAGCUCUGUUGAGUGCAGAUUUUUAUAGGGGCUGGCAUUAAGUUCCAAAGCACACUUGAAUCUCCACCAGUAGAAGCUCCAUUCUUGCACUUCUAAGAUCUUGAUUUGUCCGACCUCUUCUCUCUUCAACACCUUUGAAAAUGUCUGGCCCAUCCGACCGUCGUUUUGACUUGAACCUUGUUGAAGAGGCAGCUCCGUCUUCUCCAGACAACAUAUGGCGCCCAUCCUUCGUCUCCCCUACUGGUCCUCUUACCGUUGGGGAUUCCGUGAUGAAGAAUGAUAUGACCGUUGCGGUGGUGGCCAGGAACCUUCUCACUCCCAAAGAUAACAUACUACUUUCCAAACGGUCUGAUGAGUUAGCUGUUAAGGAUUCUCUGGCUCUCAGUGUUCAGUGUGCAGGUUCUGUGUCUAAUAUGGCCCAACGCCUAUUUGCUCGAACCCGCCAAGUUGAAUCAUUGGCGGUUGAAGUGAUGAAUCUCAAACAGGAGAUUAGAGGGCUCAAACAUGAGAAUAAACAGUUGCACCGGCUCGCACAUGACUAUGCUACAAACAUGAAGAGGAAGCUUAACCAGAUGAAGGAAUAUGAUGGUCAGGUUUUACUUGAUCAUCAGAGAUUUGUGGGUUUAUUCCAAAGGCAUUUAUUGCCUUCGUCUUCUGGGGCUGUACAGCGUAAUGAAGCUCCAAAUGAUCAACCUCUGAUGCCUCCUCCUUCUAGGGUUCUGUCCAGUACUGAGGCUCCGAAUGAUCCCCCUCCGGUGCCUUCUCUUUCUGGGGCUCUACCGACUGCUAAGACUUCUCCUAAGCAACCUUUGUGAAAGCUCCCUGUUGUUUGUUUAUUUUGACUUAUGUAUAUGUACAUAUUUGUAGCUUAUCCGGGAUAUCAAUAAAUAAGCUUUCCUUCAUUUCAACGUAUUGUGUUAAUUACACCAAAGCCUUAUUCGCUAAGUUCUUUGAAUUUUCUUUUGUUGAAGCUUUGUGAGUGGAGCAUGUAGGUUGAGGUAGUGUUCCCUUAAUUUCCUGAGUGAGAAAAACUUCUCGGUUGGACACUUGGAAAAUCCAAGUCACUGAGUGGGAUCGGCUAUAUGAAUCUUAGAACGCCAUUGUGCUCGGUCCUGUGUCAUGUCCUUCGUUAGAUCCAAGUACUCUAAGUUUUUUCUUAGAGUCUCUUCCAAAGUUUUCCUAGGUCUUCCUCUACCCCUUCGGCCCUGAACCUCUGUCCCAUAGUCGCAUCUUCUAAUCGGAGCGUCAGUAGGCCUUCUUUGCACAUGUCCAAACCACCGUAACCUAUUUUCUCUCAUCUUUCCUUCAAUUUCGGCUACUCCUACUUUACCCCGGAUAUCCUCAUUCAUAAUCUUAUCCUUUCUCGUGUGCCCACACAUCCAACGAAGCAUCCUCAUCUCCGCUACACCCAUUUUGUGUACGUGUUGAUGCUUCACCGUCCAACAUUCUGUGCCAUACAGCAUCGCCGGCCUUAUUGCCGUCCUAUAAAAUUUUCCCUUGAGCUUCAGUGGCAUACGGCGGUCACACAACACGCCGGAUGCACUCUUCCACUUCAUCCAUCCAGCUUGUAUUCUAUGGUUGAGAUCUCCAUCUAAUUCUCCGUUCUUUUGCAAGAUAGAUCCUAGGUAACGAAAACGGUCGCUCUUUGGUAUUUCUUGAUCUCCGAUCCUCACCCCUAACUCGUUUUGGCCUCCAUUUGCACUGAACUUGCACUCCAUAUAUUCUGUCUUUGAUCGGCUUAGGCGAAGACCUUUAGAUUCCAACACUUCUCUCCAAAGGUUAAGCUUUGCAUUUACCCCUUCCUGAGUUUCAUCUAUCAACACUAUAUCGUCUGUGAAAAGCAUACACCAAGGAAUAUCAUCUUGAAUAUGUCCUGUUAACUCAUCCAUAAUAUAUAUUUUUUAUAAAUUGGUAUCGGAACUGUCACUAACAAGAUUCAAACUUAAAACUUCUCACUUACAAGUGCACCAAAAUAUUACAAGAUCGUAGUACUUAAUGACAAAUAAAAUAGUGUACUUAAAAAGAUAAAUAAAACAUGCGAAUGAACACCUAAGACCUAACCCAACAAUUAAGUAUUAAAAUUUGGAGUAGAAGUUGCUGAACGUAUCGGCCGAAUAUCUUGGUAUCUGACGCUCUGAUUCUGCCGGAUUCGGACCAUCACCCCAAACAGGAUACAAUCAACCAAACAAAAAUCCACUCCCUGGUUCCUCACAUUAUUUUUAUAGUUCCCCAAAUCAACGGCUCUCAUUACAUCAGCCUCGUCACAACUCCUUACAAGCUCAUCCACCAGAAAGCCACUCCUACACGUAUACCAUCCUAUAUAUAGAAGCCGUCACCGCUGUCAAAGCCUUCAUUCCUUCAUUGCCUUUCCCUUGAAGUUGGAGUAUUUGUGUUCUCGGUAUCCAUAAAAAUUUCUGGUCUACUUGUCGUUUGCUGGAGGCUGCAUUCAGGCAUUUUCGUUGGUGAGGUGCGGAUUGAGGAGAGACAUGGUCGUCGGAAGUCUGACGACGUGGUUGAUAUUAUGGUGCAGUGUAUGAGCUUGGGGUCCGCUCUAGCGCUGGCGUGCCUGGCGUUGUUCUUGGUGGUUCUUCCGUUGAUACUACCGCCGCUGCCUCCUCCUCCAUUGAUGCUCUUGUUCUUUCCGGUUGGCAUAAUGGCUGCUCUCUUGUUUCUCGCCUUCUUGCCGGCCGGUCCGGAGGCCGGACACUUCGUCAUUUCUAAUGCUGUGUAAAUAUUGUUAGCUAAUAUAUUUAGAUUAUAUCGACUUCAUCGACUGAUAACUAUGAGAUAGCUGUACGCUUCUUGCCUGUUUGGCACAAUUAUAAUUUAGUGAUACAUUUUUUUUUGGGUGGUGCACUGCUAUCCAUAUAACCUUUUUUUUUAAUCUUUUACACACACUCGAUAUUUUUACACUCUUCUUAAUUUCUGAUAUUUUACGCACUCUUUUUUAAUCUUUUUUUUAAUCUUUUACGCGCACUCUUCUUAGGUUUUCAUUUCAAGCAGCUACUCUCUCUCCAGGUCAACUUUAUCCGACCCACCUCCUCUCAUCCCCUCCCUCUUCUCCUAUAUAUUGUAUAUUCAAUCUUCGCCAGCACCACCUUUUAUCACUAUCACUUAACCACAAUAGACUGGGAAAUGCAGUAGUUACUCUUCUAUUUUGCCGGUUAAACUGCUAGUUCAACCCCCGCUCCCUUUCUUUUUCUCUCUCACUGAGGACAUCAAUCAUUCUUUGCUACAAACGUUCUUGGUUGGUCCUCCCUCUUAAAAGAUGAUGCAUCGGUAAAAAGUCUUGUGACAGCACCCUCAUUCCCUUGCUCCUCAUUUCUUCUGUCCCAACCAUCAUGCUUCAAAAAUAUUUGUAAGGUCCACGAGAAUCAGGAAGGUGACCAGAUUUGAAUUGCUCCGACAUUACGUUUGGGUUGGGAGGACUGGGCAAAGUUCUUAAUUACUUCUUUUUUCAUAAGUUUUUCUAUUUUAAUCUUAUUUUUUAUUCAAAAAAAUAAUUUUCUAAAUGACAAGAAAGUCUCUCAAACAGUCAAACUCCAUUCAAAUUUUUAAUAAAAAUUCAUAACAAUCCUUGAAAAUCCAUUUGAAUGUUGUAAGAAUUUUACAAUCCUAUCAAAUCCAGGGCUUUAAAAAGUGUUCUGAAAACCUUUCCGUAUCCUUAUUUGACUACACACCCUAGGAUUCCCAACCCUAGCAACCACCUUAUAGCCGACUGAUGAAAAGUCGGGAUAUCUCCAAAGAGUUACUCUACAGUCUACACAUUAAUCUUAAAAACGAUUUUCACAUGCUCAUUUUCUCUCUCCGCACUCAUGUUGGUAAACUGGAGAAAUUGAGUGCAGCAACCUGUGACUUUUGGCGACAAGGAAGACGGACUAGAAAGACAUUGGAUUUAGCUGUCAUAUAUCUUCUUCAAAGGGUGUCUCCAACCACCUCGUGAUAGACCUUAUUCUAAUCAUGCCAAUCCAAACCUUCAAAUAUAGUAAUGACUUAUUUUAACCUACGGCCACUGUUACUCUAUUUUAAUUACACAUUACUCCUUACUCAAAAAUCACCACUUUACUUCUUGAAAUUCAAAGUUCGCUUCACUUUGCCCUCUGAAAUUCAAUUUUAAUCCCAUUUUACCCCUUGAAACUUGAAAGUCAUCUUUAUAAAACUCUUAAAUUUGCUCCAAUUUGGGUGUGCUAGACUAAUCAAUUUGUUUUUAUCUCUUUAAUUUCUUUUAAACUUAAUAUUCUCUAAUUGUUGGAUGUUAACACAUAAUGAAGAUUUAUAAUCAAAUUUAUUGCACACGUGGCGUACUCUUAUUUGAUUUAUAAUCAAAUUUAGCAUAAUUAUGGAAGCACCAGAAGACUUCUACAAAGCGAAAAGCCUAAAGAAUCCAAUUUGGAUAGCUUCUCUGUGUCCUCAGUGUCUUUUUUCUGCUUUUCCACCUUGUUAAAUUUUGAAAGAACUAAUGUGAACAAUCACCAGCACGUCACAUUGGCUUUUCCAUAAACACAGGAUAAUACAGAGAACCACACCCUCGACAUCUCUCCCAACCAAAAUAUAGCCAUGAAACAUAGCUAUCAAGGUUAUCCAAUAUUGUGCUACCACACAAUGAUGUAUGACAUAUCCGUCCCUUUCAUAUCUGAAAAAUACAUUUCACAUCGAAAAAUUACAAAAGAAACUCACAUAAGUCAAUGCAAGGCCAUUGUUUGUUCUAAUAAACCCACAUAUCUACCUACCAUAUAUAAUAAACAUGUAUAAUCAGUGUAGGAUGCUAGCUUUGGUCAACAAGUCAGUGGUAUAUUUGGCCUGGUUAACAAAAAUUCCUAAAUUUGUAUAUGACACUUGUAGCCCAAGAAAGUAAUUGAGUGUGCCUAGAUCCUUUAUAUCAAACUCCUUCCUCAAAUCUAUGAUCAAAGAACUUGGAUUGAUCCCCGUAAGAAUAAUAUCGUCAACAUGUAAUAGGAGAAUAGGUAAAUCAUUCUCCAACUUCUUAACAAAAAGAGAGGAAUCAGCAAAAGAUUGCACAAAUCCUAAAAUGAGUAGAUGAGAAGUGAACCUUCAUUCCAUGCACGUGGGGCAUGUUUGAGUUCAUACAAUGGUUGGAUUAGCUUGCGGGCAUGAUAAGUAUUGGUUUUGUCUUCAAAUCUUGGUGGUUGACUUAUACAAACUUCCUCAUGAAGGCAUUUUUCACAUCUAGUUGUUGAGAGUCCAAUGAAAUUGAGUUGCUAGAGACAAUACUAAUCUCACUGUAGGAUGCUUGACUACUAGACUAAAUGUUUCUUCAUAGUCCAAUCCAGCCUCUUGAUGAAAUCUCCUGGCAACAAGUCUAGCUUUGUGACUUGCUAUUGUACCAUCAACAUUCUCGAACCUUUUUGGAUCUUCCUUGUUUGCUUUCUCCUUGGAUCUCCCUCCCUAGCUUAUUCAUAAAGCCACCAAAGAGAUGGCCUCUAAAUUUUCCACACCUCAAUCUCCUCUAGGUGGCCAGCCUAUGGUGUUCAGAGAGGGAGAUUGUUGCUCUCCUUAUCAAGCUUUUCUCAGAACCACCAAAAUGC